UACAGAGGGCGCGAGCGUUGUCCGGAAUCACUGGGCGUAAAGGGCGCGUAGGUGGCCACUAUAAGGCCGCGGUGAAAGUUCGGGGCUCAACCCUGAAUCUGCCGCGGCGACGUGUAGGGCUAGGGCACCGUAGAGGCAGAUGGAAUUCCGGGUGUAGCGGUGGAAUGCGUAGAGAUCCGGAAGAACACCGGUGGCGAAGGCGGUUAGCUGGGCGAGUUGCUGACACUGAGGCGCGACAGCGUGGGGAGCAAACAGG
rnacentral:rRNA from 1 species